UGCUAAAGCUCAAAAUCAGUAUCUCUGUUUUAACAUUGCCGUGAGGAGUGCAUGAUGGAGUCGAGAAGGUGCCGUCUUUGUUUAAAUUACGUUAAACGUAUUCAAGACAUGGUUGAUCUUUUCCGUGACCAAAAUGCCCACUUACUAGCGCAACUCAAUUCAACUAGUAAAUUGCAGCUCGAGAAAAUUCCAGGACAUCCGGUGCCUAUUUGCAGACUAUGCCUCAUUGAUUUGGGAUGUGCUACAGCAUUUCGCAACCGCUGUUCUCUUUCAGAAAAACAGUUGAUACAAAAGUUAAUUCAAAACAUGACUAGUACAAGUCGAGCCACUUAAAGGAGUU